UUCAAGGUUUAAUGAGAGGAACUCGAAGAGAUCCACACCAAGAUUCAUGAUGAAAGACCCCCGGAGCAGGGAGACCCUCACUCAAGUCUCGGGAUGAUGCGACCCCCCAAGAACUCACGUGAGACC
rnacentral:pre_miRNA from 14 species